CAACCACGAUGAGCAGGCGUUUGAGAUGCACAGGGCAGCAGGGGAUGCGGAACUGGCUCCUGGGACCUGCUGAGUAAUCCUGAGAAAGCGGGGAAAGCAGAGAAACAAGCAGGCAGAUUGUUUCCAGGACUCCUCAUGGACAUGCCAAAUCCACAAGCGUGCAAGUCUCGUGUGCAAAACAGCCUAGAGACGUCACAUACCUAUGCAUCCUCUCACAUACCCUUCAACGAUUGCCUAUAAGUGUCGUCGCCGCCUCUCAUCAAGGAAACCUCUCUCUGCAACAGAAACCAUUAUAGAAAACCACAAAAUUCAGCGCCGUGGAGCCCAGUCUCGAUGGAUACACAAACAAAACACUUCACACCUAAAGCUCAGGGAACAGGAAAGGCUGGAGAGAUGGCUCAGCCGUCAAAGGCUAGACUCACAAGGGAAAAUAAGAGGAGACAGAAAGACUGUAGGGACAAGAGAAUCGGCAUCAGGAAUUCGCUGUGAGACCGUGUCUCCUAGUACUAUCAGAAGCUUCACCCUUGAAGUCUCACCCACAUGACCACCCAAAUGGGAGGUGAGCAAGGAUGAAGAGCAACAAAUGCCCCAAACUGGAUGGGGAAAAGCCCACAAGGCUUAAAUCCUACACGAAGAGCUGCAGGCAACUGAGGUACUCGGAGAGAGGUGGGUAUGAGAACGAGGACCUUCUCCAGGGGAAGAGCAUACCGAUUGGUA